rnacentral:rRNA from 1 species
UACGUAGGGUGCAGGCGUUAAUCGGAAUUACUGGGCGUAAAGCGUGCGCAGGCGGUUGGUUAAGUCUGAUGUGAAAGCCCCGAGCUCAACUUGGGAAUGGCAUUGGAAACUGGCUGGCUAGAGUGUGGCAGAGGGGGGUGGAAUUCCGCGUGUAGCAGUGAAAUGCGUAGAGAUGCGGAGGAACACCGAUGGCGAAGGCAGCCCCCUGGGCUGACACUGACGCUCAGGCACGAAAGCGUGGGGAGCAAACAGG